UUUUACUAAAAAUGAAGCUACUGGGUUAGAAAUGAUUUAACCGAAUGUGUCUUUUAUUGUGUUUUAAAUUUAGACUGUUGUCGUCUGUCCCAAGGUUUGAGGAAGGGAGUUCCACACUGAUGGAGCUAGGUGGGCGAACGAUCUUUCAACUAUUUUCUCAACCACCUCUCCCAGAAGCUCUUAAAAGAUACUGAUCACCUGAUCUCAGUGAGCUAGACGGUGGAACAUAAAUCUGGAUGAGGUCACUAAGAUAUACGAGCGUCUGAUUCUACAGCAUCGCGACACAAUUUCGGGACACUAAGGUCAGUCAAUCAGGCACGUCUGCUGGGAGGGCCGGGGGGUGCGUGUGAAGCCAGGACCUGGGACCUGGGACCUGGGACGUGGAGAAAAGCCCGGGAAAACCUGUUCCUGUCAGGCCGGCCCAGACCACUGGCUUGUCACGACUGAGUCCAACGACAACUUUUCCCCGCCGACAUCAGCGUCGGACGCAAGACCAGAGCUGAGCGUUCCUGCCAGGAGGACGCACAAUGACCACGUUCAGGGAGAUGUUCUCUUCAGGAGCCGGUCGUCGCAGGCUGCUUGUCCUGCUGUGUGUCAGCCUCUUCUACGGCACUCUCG